rnacentral:rRNA from 1 species
CCUACGGGCGGCUGCAGUGGGGAAUAUUGGACAAUGGGGGGAACCCUGAUCCAGCCAUGCCGCGUGUGUGAAGAAGGCCCUCGGGUUGUAAAGCACUUUCAGUGAGGAAGAACGCCUGGUGGUUAAUACCCAUCAGGAAAGACAUCACUCACAGAAGAAGCACCGGCUAACUCCGUGCCAGCAGCCGCGGUAAUACGGAGGGUGCGAGCGUUAAUCGGAAUUACUGGGCGUAAAGCGCGCGUAGGUGGCUUGAUAAGCCGGUUGUGAAAGCCCCGGGCUCAACCUGGGAACGGCAUCCGGAACUGUCAAGCUAGAGUGCAGGAGAGGAAGGUAGAAUUCCCGGUGUAGCGGUGAAAUGCGUAGAGAUCGGGAGGAAUACCAGUGGCGAAGGCGGCCUUCUGGACUGACACUGACACUGAGGUGCGAAAGCGUGGGUAGCAAACAGGAUUAGAUACCCCGGUAGUA